rnacentral:rRNA from 1 species
AACGAACGCUGGCGGCAUGCCUAAUACAUGCAAGUCGAACGAGACCUUCGGGUACUGGUGCCCACGGGUUGGGAAACCGGGGGGACCUUCCCUUAGGGUGGGAAUAACUUCCCGCAAGGGGGGCCAAUACCGGAUAAAUUCUUCUGACCAAAGAUUUAUCGCCAUUGGAUGGGCCCGCGUUGGAUUAGCUAGUUGGUAGGGUAAAAGCCUACCAAGGCGACGAUCCAUAGCUGGUCUGAGAGGAUGAUCAGCCACACUGGGACUGAGACACGGCCCAGACUCCUACGGGAGGCAGCAGUGGGGAAUAUUGGACAAUGGGCGAAAGCCUGAUCCAGCAAUGCCGCGUGAGUGAUGAAGGCCUUAGGGUUGUAAAGCUCUUUUACCCGGGAUGAUAAUGACAGUACCGGGAGAAUAAGCUCCGGCUAACUCCGUG